UGCCUAAUACAUGCAAGUCGAGCGAACAGACAAGGAGCUUGCUCCUUUGACGUUAGCGGCGGACGGGUGAGUAACACGUGGGUAACCUACCUAUAAGACUGGGAUAACUUCGGGAAACCGGAGCUAAUACCGGAUAAUAUUUCGAACCGCAUGGUUCGAAAGUGAAAGAUGGUUUUGCUAUCACUUAUAGAUGGACCCGCGCCGUAUUAGCUAGUUGGUAAGGUAACGGCUUACCAAGGCGACGAUACGUAGCCGACCUGAGAGGGUGAUCGGCCACACUGGAACUGAGACACGGUCCAGACUCCUACGGGAGGCAGCAGUAGGGAAUCUUCCGCAAUGGGCGAAAGCCUGACGGAGCAACGCCGCGUGAGUGAUGAAGGUCUUCGGAUCGUAAAACUCUGUUAUUAGGGAAGAACAUACGUGUAAGUAACUGUGCACGUCUUGACGGUACCUAAUCAGAAAGCCACGGCUAACUACGUGCCAGCAGCCGCGGUAAUACGUAGGUGGCAAGCGUUAUCCGGAAUUAUUGGGCGUAAAGCGCGCGUAGGCGGUUUUUUAAGUCUGAUGUGAAAGCCCACGGCUCAACCGUGGAGGGUCAUUGGAAACUGGAAAACUUGAGUGCAGAAGAGGAAAGUGGAAUUCCAUGUGUAGCGGUGAAAUGCGCAGAGAUAUGGAGGAACACCAGUGGCGAAGGCGACUUUCUGGUCUGUAACUGACGCUGAUGUGCGAAAGCGUGGGGAUCAAACAGGAUUAGAUACCCUGGUAGUCCACGCCGUAAACGAUGAGUGCUAAGUGUUAGGGGGUUUCCGCCCCUUAGUGCUGCAGCUAACGCAUUAAGCACUCCGNCUGGGGGAGUACGACCGCANGGUUGAAACUCAAAGGAAUUGACGGGGACCCGCAC
rnacentral:rRNA from 1 species